CACCUUUAUACAUUGCGACAACAGAGAUCUAAGGAAAGUUCGGAGUUGAAAGCUAUUUCAUCGAAAGCAACUGGUAAUUCUCGACCUAUGGAUACUAGCACUAGUAUUGACUACCAAACGAAGAGUAAAGGAAAAGCUGUUUGGGGAAGUAGUCACGCAGACAAGCAUGAUGGAGGAAUUGGACUUCACAACUCUGAAGAAGAAAAGUAAGCAGAUCACUCCGACAAUAGCUCUCUUCUGCUACCAAGCAUUGCAUAUGGUGGCUUAUGCAUUGUGGGGGUUCUCCUUUAUCGAUUUUGGGCGCAGGAUAAUGCUUAGAAUAUAGUUGUAAAGGUGUGGAUUUUGUUUAUAUACAUAGGAAUUGGAAGAAGUGAAAUUUGUUAUUCAUGUUGUGAGACUAGAGCAUACGUUGCUAUAUAAAUUGUGAGGAAUACUACAAGUGGAAAAAAAAAUGUAUUUACAUGCCCUUUGUUGUAUUUUAUUUCAAGAAAUUUGAACAACAU